rnacentral:lncRNA from 1 species
AGGGUUUAAAACACUAAUGCUGACUGAAGGAAAGAGUUCAAUUUAGGGUUUAGAACCCUAAUGCUGACUGAAGAAAAAGUUCAGUUUAGGGUUUAAAACCCUAAUGCUGACUGAAGGGAAAACGUUCAGUUUAGGGUUUAAAACCCUAAUGCUGACUAAAGGGAAGAGUUCAGUUUAGGGUUUAAAACCCUAAUGCUGACUAAAUGGAAGAGUUCAGUUUAGGGUUUAAAACCCUAAUGCUGACUAAAUGGAAAGAGUUCAAUUUAGGGUUUAAAACCCUAAUGUUGACUGAAGAAAAAAGUUCAUUUUAGCGUUUAAAACCCUAAUGCUGACUGAAGGGAAAAAGUUCAGUUUAGGGUUCAAAACCCUAAUGCUGACUAAAGGAAAGAGUACAGUUUAGGGUUUAAAAUCCUAAUGCUGACUGAAUGGAAAAAGUUCAGUUUGGGUUUAAAACCCUAAUGCUGACUGAAUGGAAAAAGUUCAGUUUAGGGUUUAAAACCCUAAUGCUGACUGAAUGGAAAAAGUUCAGUAUAAGGUUUAAAACC